GGAGGGUACAGCUCAAGUGGCAGAGUGUGUGCUUAGCAUGCUCGAGGUCCUGGGUUCAAUCCUCAGUCCCUCCG
rnacentral:tRNA from 1 species